AGACGCUAUAACUAUUAUUACUACUGGGUGGAGAACAUGCGGCGAUAAAUUCAUUUUAAUGUCUUUUCUGCAUUAUUUUGAGCGCGCAACCCACUAACAUCAACUGCAAAAUGAGAAUGAAGGUUGCAACAAAAAAUAUGAACAGUCAUUGAAAUGAAAAUUGCAACCGUUAUGGAAAAAUAAUCAGCUUCGUUUUGAUGUCUCCAAGUUGCCACCUUGGAGUACAAGUAUUGGGGACUUUGAUUCUGAGCCAUCAUUUCUGACUGGCUGGCUGGUUAGUGCAUUUCAUACGUAAUGUAAGCAAACAACAUGCAAUUAAAUAUCAUGCACUAACUUACAAGUAUAGUUUUUAACAGAUAACAUUAAUCUGUCAAUAAACGAAUCCUGACAUUAAAUGCAAAUGUUUUAAUUUUUAUACAUUGUAAUACUGCAUUUUAGAUGCUGGUACAAUUGGCGACAAAGCAGAUGUGGCUUAGGCAAUGGAACUACUGCUAAACAAGAUGUUUUAUAUCAAGCCCACUCAGAAGUUAGGGCAGAAAGUUACCUUCUUGUUCUACUUAUUAUGCACUGGCGCUUUUAAGAGCAUACCUAACAUGUCAGACCGGGAUGUCGGUGACUCAGACAAUGACCAUGAUGGAAUGGAGAUGUCUGGAGACCUUGUGAUAAAUUUUUUGUCAGAUAUUAACUGUGAAUAAAACAGAAUCAAGUGUU